rnacentral:rRNA from 1 species
UGGGGAAUCUUGCACAAUGGGCGAAAGCCUGAUGCAGCAACGCCGCGUGAGCGAAGAAGGCCUUUGGGUCGUAAAGCUCUGUCCUAAGGGAAGAAGGAAGUGACGGUACCUUAGGAGGAAGCCCCGCUAACUACGUGCCAGCAGCCGCGGUAAUACGUAGGGGCAAGCGUUAUCCGGAAUUAUUGGGCGUAAAGAGUACGUAGGCGGUUCUUUAAGCGCAGGGUUUAAGGCUAUGGCUUAACUAUAGUUCGCCCUGUGAACUGGAGGACUUGAGUAUCGGAGAGGAAAGCGGAAUUCCUAGUGUAGCGGUGAAAUGCGUAGAUAUUAGGAGGAACACCAGUGGCGAAGGCGGCUUUCUGGACGAAAACUGACGCUGAGGUACGAAAGCGUGGGGGAAGCAAAUCAGGAUUAGAUACCC